rnacentral:rRNA from 1 species
AGGAUUCGUCCAAGUGAAGCAGAGGACAGUGGCGGACGGGUGAGUAACGCGUGAGGAACCUGCCUUUCAGAGGGGGACAACAGUUGGAAACGACUGCUAAUACCGCAUAAGCCCACGGUACCACAUGGUACAGUGAGAAAAGGAGAAAUCCGCUGAAAGAUGGACUCGCGUCUGAUUAGAUAGUUGGUGGGGUAACGGCCUACCAAGUCGACGAUCAGUAGCCGGACUGAGAGGUUGAACGGCCACAUUGGAACUGAGACACGGCCCAGACUCC